rnacentral:rRNA from 1 species
GGAGCAGUUUCGCUCAGUUGCUUUGCCGCCUGCCGCUGGGCACCUUAUCUCCUCCGUCUCGCUCUCGCGCCACUCCACGGCACCAUGCACUCGCCGGCGCGCUGCCCCGCCGCCACCACCGCGUCCUCGCCUCUGCGCGCGCCGUUCGUCGCCAUGGCCCAGCGCGGCCGCAGGCCGCCCUCGUCCGCGGCCCCCGAGGCCGAGCAGCCGGAGGAGGCGCUCGCCCGCAUCCUCCGCACCGAGGCCGCCGUCUCCGGCGUCUCCCGCAAGGCGUCCGCGGGCUCCAGCCAGCACUCCACCCGCCUCUGGCCCCGCGCCGUCCUCCAGGCCCUCGAUUCCGCCGUCGCCUCCUCCCGCUGGGAGUCCGCCCUCGAGAUCUUCGAGCUGCUGCGGAAGCAGCGGUGGUACGAGCCGAGGACGCAGAUCUACGCCAGGCUGCUGAUGAUGCUGGGCAGGUGCCGGCAGCCCGGCCCGGCCACCGCCCUCUUCAAGGUGAUGCUCUCGGAGAAGCGGCUCGCGCCGACGGUGGACGUGUACACGGCGCUCGUUGGCGCCUACGGCUACAGCGGCCUGCUGGACGAGGCGAUGGCCACGGUCGAUCGGAUGAAAGGUGCUGACGCAGACUGCAAGCCGGACGAGUACACCUUCUCUGUCCUCAUCAAUUGCUGCUGUAAGUCGCGCCGCUUCGACCUGAUCCCCACCGUCCUCGACGAGAUGUCAUAUCUGGGGGUUGGAUGCAACGUUGUCAUCCACAAUGGGAUAAUUGAUGGGUACGGCAAGGCCGGCAUGCUAGAGGAGAUGGAGGAUGCGCUGUCCAACAUGCUUCAAGAUGGGGACAAUGUGCCGGACAUAUACACGAUGAACUCCAUCAUCUGGGCCUAUGGCAACCGUGGCAGGGUGGAUGACAUGGAGAGGUGGUAUGGUGAGUUUCAGUUGAUGGGCGUUGAGCCAGAUACGCGGACUUUCAAUAUCAUGAUGAAGUCUUACGGCAAGGCUAACAUGCCUGACAAAAUGUUGUCGGUGCUGAAAUAUAUAAAGCGGCGCUUCUUCUCACCCUCUGCCGCUACGUUCAACAUAAUCAUAGAGUGUUUUGGAAGGGCUGGCAACAUUGAGAAGAUGGAGUACUAUUUCAGGCUGAUGAAAAUUAAGGGUGUCAAACCCAACCCCAUCACGUACUGCUCGCUGGUUAAUGGAUACAGCAAAUCUGGGCUCCUUGAUAGGGUUCCUGCAAUUAUUCGGCAGACGGAGAACACUGAUGUUGCCUUAGAUACUCCAUUUUUCAACUGUGUUAUCAGUGCAUACGCCAAGUCUGGCGAUAUCAAAAUAAUGGAGGAAAUGCUACAGCUAAUGAAGGAAAAGAAAUGUAAGCCUGGCAAGGUAAUUUAUAGCACCAUGAUUCAGGCAUAUAUUGCCCAUGGAAUGGAGGAAGACGCUAAGUUAUUAGAAAAAGAACUGGAAAGAGUUGACGAGAAGUUGCUGUAAGUGCUUUGCUAUAUUUUGGUGAGCUUCUUGUUGAUUUAUGCCUGCAUUAAACUGCUGAUCAUCCAUGACCGGUUAUCUUUGUUUGGGGUCAGUGAUCUGUUCUGAGAUUGAAUGCCAGUUUUUGGUGACCCAGUUGGAUGCCAAUGACAAGGUUACUAGAAGUUCACAACUUUCUAUGGAAUUUAUCUUUGGCUGUACCAAAUUAAGCUGAGCUGAAAUAGACACUAACUAUUGUUCUUUCCGUAUCCCAUCAAUGAGGAACCACUUGGAAUAGAUAAAUUAGUCGUGGCAUGUUGUGCCAUCGGAAAUGGGAGUUUCACGCAGCCUAGAUCUAAUUGCACAAGUACAAACUCAGACAGGUAGCUUGGAAUAUCUGGAAGUGCAAGGGAGUACGGUACAGCAAAGAAGGUCCGAUUCAGAGCUCCAGUCUAGUAUAUAUUCAUGUCAGAAUAUGUAAACCUAGUUUCCUCUGGGUCUAUCGGAAAAUUCACUGCCACAAAACUAAAGGGAGAAACGGAACAACACAAAAGAAAGAAACAAAGAACCAUGUGAAUUUCCUUAGAAUUUUGAACACCAAUAAGUUCAGAGCACAGAACACACAUUCUCGAAGAGAAGUUCAGUCUUCCAGUGGACACACCAGGCAGAUAAUAGAAAUCGAUGGAUACGACUAGAACUGCAUACUUCAAUCAAAAUUCUGAGCUGAACUACUCAUACUUGUGACGAUGGGGCGACCUUGUCUAAUAUGUCCAUCAUAAUCGAUGGACAGCUGGUUGUGAGGUGCUUGAAUCCAUCCGUCUUCUUGACAGCUCGAAGCACGUCCUGCAAAGACAGGUAUCCAAGGCAAGCUUUUUUAAGUUGCAAGGAGUGGUGCUGCUCUGCUAAAGCAAGUGUGGUUGCAACUGUUUGCACAUCAAAUUUCUGGCAUAGCUUCUCUUCACAAAUAGCCUUUAGCCUUUCCAGUCCAUACCGAUCUGCAGCGACUAACAAGUGCUGCAGUGCCACAUUUUGAUCAACAUCGAAAUUGCUUGGCAGAGAAUCUGUGUAUAUGAAGUAAAGAAGUGCAUCGAAGAUGGCAGGCUCCAUGUCAUCGAUCUUGAUGUUUUUUGUAGUGGUCCCCUUCAUUUGACCAAAGAGCUCGGCUUUGAAGACCGACGAUCGUGCGGCUAACACGUAUUUAUGUGCACUGAAGAGUUGGUCGCCGACACUGAAUGUCACGUCCACGCCUUCUCCACCCUUCAACAUAUUUGCAAAGUGCGUGUGCAGGUCUGACUGCGGGACCUGGACCGGGACUGUGCCAACUUGUUCCGUGUGAUGGUCUUUUAUGACAGUCAAAACACACCUGAUUGUGAAGCAGUCGUCAUUGCGGGACAGCAGUUCCUUCAGCUUGGACUUUUCAAUAAAGUUGGUCCAGCCCUGACCGAUACUCGCCGAUGAAAAGAAACACAAGAAGACCGACAUGUAGGCAGCUUUGUCUUCCUUCAUGGCCCCGUCAGGAUAGAUCCUAAUGUUCCAGUCGUAGCCGCUGACGCUGAAUUUGCUCGAGCAAAUGAACUUGCCAGAACCCAUACCCUCGAGCAACGAGUACUUAAUCACCUCAAAGUUGUGGGCGGCGGUGACACACUCGGUCAGCCAUCUCGAGGACGUCUCAGGAUGUGGCUGUAUCCUGUGACUAACAAUGAAGGGAGAUCAGGGGGCAUGCAUGUGGAAAUGAUGGAUCUGCAUCACACAAUGAAGGGAUUCGCAUCACAUAAUCAAGGGAGAUCAAAUGGUCUCAGGUUCGUGGUGAGCCGUGGCGCUGUGAAGUCGGAGGAGAUGUUGAGCAGCGGGCCGGCGAUGACUGCAAGCGACGGCUGGAAGAAGAAGAAGCCCUAGCGGCGGUAGCGAUGGACGAGUUGUUGGAGACGAAAAGGAGCGGACGCAAGAGGCGCUCUAGCUAGGUCAAUGCGCCAAUACAUCACCCUACUACUAAUUCUCGUGGUUGGUGGGGCUUGUUGUUUCGAGCUUUUCUGGGCCACCACGUUGGGCACCCAUCUUUCCUUAGCCAACCGGGUAGUAAUUAAAAUCUAUAUAUGGAAUAUAAUUGCGAGGCGUCCUGCGCCGGGUUGUGUUUCUGGCGCCUGCAUGCGAGUUUGCGGGCUCAAUCCUGUAAGCCCACUCAGUUCUGUUGGUUGGAGACCCAAUGUGACGACCCGAACUGGCGUCGCGAAAGCAAAGAAUGGUUCAGCU